ACAACCAUAUCACGUUGAAACACCCGUCCUCGUACGAUCACCAAAAUUAAGCAACGCCGAGCCUGGUCAUUACCUAGAUGGGUGACCGCUUGGGUAUAACAGGUUCUGUA